ACACACACAUAUGUAUGUCCAUAUAUAUAUUUAUAUAUUGUAUGUAUUGAGCAUGAUGGUUCUAAAAGCAUUUUUGUCUGACUUGCACUUGAGCAAUUUGAUGGAUUAGCCGCCUCCGUGCCUUCCGUAAAAUGAUGCCGCGGCCAUUGAGCCCACACAGGAGUCCUCCACUUGCUUGAGCACCAGCUUGCUUCUGCCCUCACCCCACUUGGAUUCACCAACAGUUAAUGUGCUUAUCCUGUUGUUCAGAAUAAGUGGGUAUGAUGGCUGGUCCUCAAUGAAGAGUGGCAGGUGCCGCUUCCAAGGAACCUGACAUAAUGGAAAAUUGGGCAACGACGACUGAUCCAGAAAAAUGCUCAGUAAACAUGAAGAUGCUGAACUUUUUUUAGUAAUUGGGGAAAAAACACCAAAAGUGGAUCUUUUGCUGA